rnacentral:tRNA from 1 species
UCCCAGGUGGCUCAGUGGUAAAGAAUCUGCCUGCCAAGCAGGAGACCUGGGUUCGAUCCCUGGGUUGUGAA